UUCCCUGCAACUGCUAUCCCAACCUACCUGUGGUACAGGCUGGAAGCAUCGGGUGGGUAUUUUGGUCGUAGGCUGACAGGGAAGG
rfam:Aedes albopictus isolate Foshan contig138770, whole genome shotgun sequence.